GCCUCAGUAGUCGAGUUGGCUAAGACACUUGCUCUAAGAAAUCGAAAGGUCCUAGGUUCGAAUUCUGGCUGAGGUA
rnacentral:tRNA from 1 species